UACAGAGGUCCCAAGCGUUUGUUCGGAUUCAUUGGGCGUAAAGGGUGCGUAGGCGGCGCGGUAAGUCGGGUGUGAAAUCUCGGAGCUUAACUCCGAAACUGCAUUCGAUACUGCCGUGCUUGAGGACUGGAGAGGAGACUGGAAUUUACGGUGUAGCGGUGAAAUGCGUAGAGUAUCGUGAAGGAAGACCAGUGGCGAAGGCGGGUCUCUGGACAGUUCCUGACGCUGAGGCACGAAGGCCAGGGGAGCGAAACGGG
rnacentral:rRNA from 1 species